GGGGUUUGACAUGAUAGCGAAGUCUGCAGAGAUGUAGACGCCUUUCGGGGCGCUAUGAC
rnacentral:rRNA from 1 species